GACGAACGCUGGCGGCGUGCUUAACACAUGCAAGUCGAGCGGUAAGGCCCUUUCGGGGGUACACGAGCGGCGAACGGGUGAGUAACACGUGGGUGACCUGCCCUCAGCUCUGGGAUAAGCCUGGGAAACCGGGUCUAAUACCGGAUAUGACUCCAUGACGCAUGUUGGUGGGGUGGAAAGCCUUGUGCGGCUGAGGAUGGGCCCGCGGCCUAUCAGCUUGGUUGGUGGGGUGAUGGCCUACCAAGGCGACGACGGGUAGCCGGCCUGAGAGGGCGACCGGCCACACUGGGACUGAGACACGGCCCA
rnacentral:rRNA from 1 species